rnacentral:lncRNA from 1 species
UUUCCCCGAUUUAUAAAACUGGAAUACAACACUAAUAACCUACUAAAAAGAUGAGUUUUUUUUUUUUUUUCUUCGCUAUACCCUGUAGAUUAUAGUGCCACGGAAUAAUUCUAGGAUCACCAUAUAAAGUACAAAAGGUGAAUUUAUUUGUAAACCCUUGCUCCAAUCCAAUUACAUGUUUAACUUUAGAUCCAUCAAUACUAAUUUUUUUUAAGUGAGAGG